CCUACGGGUGACAGCAGUGAGGAAUAUUGGUCAAUGGGCUUACGCCUGAACCAGCCAAGUCGCGUGAGGGAAGACUGCCCUAUGGGUUGUAAACCUCUUUUGUCAGGGAGCAAUUGGCGCUACGUGUAGCGUUAUCGAGAGUAACUGAAGAAAAAGCAUCGGCUAACUCCGUGCCAGCAGCCGCGGUAAUACGGAGGAUGCGAGCGUUAUCCGGAUUGAUUGGGUUUAAAGGGUGCGUAGGCGGAAUGCCAAGUCAGCGGUAAAAUCGCGGGGCUCAACCUCGCUCCGCCGUUGAAACUGGCGUUCUUGAGUGGGCGAGAAGUAUGCGGAAUGCGUGGUGUAGCGGUGAAAUGCAUAGAUAUCACGCAGAACUCCGAUUGCGAAGGCAGCAUACCGGCGCCCAACUGACGCUGAAGCACGAAAGCGUGGGUAUCGAACAGGAUUAGAUACCCUGGUAGUC
rnacentral:rRNA from 1 species